UUACGAUCAUAUCACGUUGAAACCCCUAGUUCUCAAUUGAUCGCCGAAGUUAAGCAACGUUGAGUCUGGUCAGUACCUGUAUGGGUGGCCGCUUGGGAAUACUAGGCGCUGUGA